UGUUUGACUUUCAAGGUUAUCAUAAUAGGACGCGUAAGAUAAGUACAUGCUAUAUUACCCUUACCAAAAACUAAUCUAGCUAUUUCCGAAGGUAAUAAUGUUUCCAUAAUGCUUAUCGUCAUUUGAAGUCUGCAAUUAUCAUUGAAAAGUUAUAAUCAUUUUCAGAAAUGUUCAAGCAAAACGUAUCACAGUAUAGUGUACAGAUACUUUGAAACAAUAUUAUAAUACAAAUCUUGAAGGAUGUUGAAUGAAGUACCUUUUACGCGAAGCAUUGUUACCACCAUUGAAACUAUUUAUAUUUUCCUCCAUAUCAGUGAAAGUGGAAGGAACUUUUUAUAAAUUUAAGCAUUUCGUAAGUUCAACAGGAUUACUCCUUAUUAUUGACGACAAAAGUAAUCAUUCUGCAUUAUUUAGUAAGAACCUGUAUGU